rnacentral:lncRNA from 1 species
CUCUAAUCUUUAUCAGAUAGCUAUCGGAUUUUAUUUUCCACCUUCCGGGUGUCGGAAUGAUUUGAAACUUUAAUUCUAGUCUCAUAAAAAUAAUUAUGACUUAGCCUCCAGUUUUCAUAAUUUUCUGACACUGUGCAUUUUCUGCUAAUUUAUCUGUCCCGUUUCCAACAGAAAUUCUAAAUCUUCUGUUUUCAUUUCGAUUUCAGCACAAGUCACUUCUGACUUAUGUUUUACUUUUCUAAAUUCAAUAAAAAUAGUAUCUCACACUAUUUUUAUUUAUUU